UACGAAGGGGGCUAGCGUUGCUCGGAAUCACUGGGCGUAAAGGGCGCGUAGGCGGCCAUUCAAGUCAGGGGUGAAAGCCUGUGGCUCAACCACAGAAUUGCCUUUGAUACUGUUUGGCUAGAGACCGGAAGAGGUAAGUGGAACUGCGAGUGUAGAGGUGAAAUUCGUAGAUAUUCGCAAGAACACCAGUGGCGAAGGCGGCUUACUGGUCCGGUUCUGACGCUGAGGCACGAAAGCGUGGGGAGCAAACAGG
rnacentral:rRNA from 1 species